UGUGGGAGCGGGCUUACUCGCGAAGCAGGCACCGCGGUGUAUCAGUUACACCGCGGUGAUGCUAUCGCGAGCAAGCCCGCUCCCACA
rnacentral:misc_RNA from 1 species